rnacentral:rRNA from 1 species
UACGUAGGGUGCAAGCGUUAAUCGGAAUUACUGGGCGUAAAGCGUGCGCAGGCGGUGAUGUAAGACAGAUGUGAAAUCCCCGGGCUCAACCUGGGAACUGCAUCCGAGACUGCAUUGCUAGAGUAUGGGAGAGGAAAGCGGAAUUUCUGGUGUAGCAGUGAAAUGCGUAGAUAUCAGAAGGAACAUCAGUGGCGAAGGCGGCUUUCUGGACCAAUACUGACGAUCAGGUGCGAAAGCGUGGGGAGCAAACAGG